GACGAACGCUGGCGGCGUGCUUAACACAUGCAAGUCGAACGGAAAGGCCCCUUCGGGGGUACUCGAGUGGCGAACGGGUGAGUAACACGUGCGUAACCUGCCCUUGACUUCGGGAUAACUUCAGGAAACUGGGGCUAAUACCGGAUAGGAAUCCUUGCUGCAUGGUGGGGGUUGGAAAGCUUCGGCGGUUUUGGAUGGACUCGCGGCUUAUCAGCUUGUUGGUGGGGUAGUGACUUACCAAGGCUUUGACGGGUAGCCGGCCUGGGAGGGCGACCGGCCACAUUGGGACUGAGAUACGGCCCAGACGCCGACGGGAGGAAGCAGGGGGGAAGAGUGCACAAUGGGCGGAAGCCUGAUGCAGCAACGCCGCGGGCGGGAGGACGGCCUUCGGGUUGUAAACCGCUUUCAGCAGGGGCGAAGCUUGUGGUGACGGUACCUGCAGAAGAAGCACCGGCUAACUACGUG
rnacentral:rRNA from 1 species